rnacentral:rRNA from 1 species
UACGGAGGGGGCAAGCGUUGUUCGGAAUCACUGGGCGUAAAGGGCGCGUAGGCGGCCUGAUAAGUAGGGGGUGAAAUCCUGCGGCUUAACCGCAGGGCUGCCUUCUAAACUGUCAGGCUUGAGCACAGUAGAGGCAGGUGGAAUUCCCGGUGUAGCGGUGGAAUGCGUAGAGAUCGGGAAGAACAUCAGUGGCGAAGGCGGCCUGCUGGGCUGUUGCUGACGCUGAGGCGCGACAGCGUGGGGAGCAAACAGG